rnacentral:lncRNA from 1 species
CCCCAUUCCCAUUCCCAAUCAGGAUUGUUCAGGAUUUUCCCUUCCCAAAAAUCCCCCAGCUCCCAUUCCCUGUUCUCCCCUAACUCCGCUUCUCCCUGAUCCUUCCCAAACCUCUCCAUCCCCGAACGGCGCGGGAAGGACGGAGCGGGAAUUCUGCCACCACCACACCACGCUGAGAUUUCCAGGAUUUCUGGAAUUUUCCUGGAUUUUCCCUGGAGACACUCCCAGCUUCCCAAUUCCCUGCAUCCCAUUAUCCAUCCCUGAUCCAUGCCUUUUUCCAGGAUGGUUUUUUUGGAGGGGGAGGGGGAGAAAAGCUGGCUCUGGCUCUCGGGAAGGUUUUCCCUCCCCCAGCCCCAUGAGGUAUUUCCAUGGAUUUUGAAGCUCAGUUUCACCUGGAAUUUUUUUAAGGAUUUAAGGGAGGAUUUGUAGCACCUUUCGUGGCGAAGCAGCGAGAUUUUCCCAUUAAAAUCCACGGGAAUUCCAGGAUCAUCCCCCGAGCUGCUGGCAGUUCCCAGGGCUCCAGGGAAUCCUCAGAUCCAGCAGGAUGGAGCAAAUUCCCUGGAUCCAGAGCACUUGAAACACAGGAAGAGGCUUCUCUGGAAUUCCCAGCCCUGCUGGAAGCUCCCCCAUGGAAUUCCCGCUCAGGAGCAGCAGAUCCGAAAGGGGGAGAGUGGGAAUUUGUGCCUAAAAACCGGGAAAGAGCCACAAUUCUCCUGGAUUUGCUGUUCCCGACGUCCCAGGGAGAAGGGGAAGCCACUGCACUCCGAAGGAAAUCAUUCCCGGCCUCCGGAAUCCUCCAGGGAUGGGCUGGGAACAGCUCUGGAAGUUUGGGAUCGCCGCAGGAUCCAGCUCCAGCAAUUCCAGCAGCAGAUUUUCCACCUUCCCAGGGGAAUCCUUCCCAGUGCUGGCUCCGGGAAUGUUCCCUUUGGAUCCACACCACGCUCUUCCUUCCUUUCUUCCACAGCUCCAGCUUUUCCCGGGAUGCUCCUGCCAGUCCUGAAGGGUUUGGAUCUCUUUUCCCAAAUCCUGGGGCAGCUGUGGAGCUGCUCGGAACUCCACACUUCAUUUCUUCCCGAGGGGUUAUUCCCGUGGGUUAUUCCUGGGGUUUAUUCCCGUGGGUUAUUCCCGUGGGUUAUUCCCAGGGGUUAUUCCCANCAACAAUUUCCAAGAUUUUUAUUUCAAACCCUUUCUCUCUUCCCUUCCCACCCUCCCCCUACAGCAGAAAAAAAAACCCCAAACAAAAAAAAAACAAAAAAAAAACCCAAAAAACGACGCUAAAAAUGAGUUUUACAAACACCAAGUCAGCUUUUCCUGGCUGA